GCUAACGCGUUAAGUCGACCGCCUGGGGAGUACGGCCGCAAGGUUAAAACUCAAAUGAAUUGACGGGGGCCCGCACAAGCGGUGGAGCAUGUGGUUUAAUUCGAUGCAACGCGAAGAACCUUACCUGGUCUUGACAUCCACAGAACUUUCCAGAGAUGGAUUGGUGCCUUCGGGAACUGUGAGACAGGUGCUGCAUGGCUGUCGUCAGCUCGUGUUGUGAAAUGUUGGGUUAAGUCCCGCAACGAGCGCAACCCUUAUCCUUUGUUGCCAGCGGUCCGGCCGGGAACUCAAAGGAGACUGCCAGUGAUAAACUGGAGGAAGGUGGGGAUGACGUCAAGUCAUCAUGGCCCUUACGACCAGGGCUACACACGUGCUACAAUGGCGCAUACAAAGAGAAGCGACCUCGCGAGAGCAAGCGGACCUCAUAAAGUGCGUCGUAGUCCGGAUUGGAGUCUGCAACUCGACUCCAUGAAGUCGGAAUCGCUAGUAAUCGUGGAUCAGAAUGCCACGGUGAAUACGUUCCCGGGCCUUGUACACACCGCCCGUCACACCAUGGGAGUGGGUUGCAAAAGAAGUAGGUAGCUUAACCUUCGGGAGGGCGCUUACCACUUUGUGAUUCAUGACUGGGGUGAAGUCGUAACAAGGUAACCGUAGGGGAACCUGCGGUUG
rnacentral:rRNA from 1 species